rnacentral:rRNA from 1 species
UACGUAGGGUGCGAGCGUUGUCCGGAAUUAUUGGGCGUAAAGAGCUCGUAGGCGGUGUGUCACGUCGGCCGUGAAAACCUGCAGCUUAACUGUGGGCGUGCGGUCGAUACGGGCAUCACUGGAGUUCGGCAGGGGAGACUGGAAUUCCUGGUGUAGCGGUGAAAUGCGCAGAUAUCAGGAGGAACACCGGUGGCGAAGGCGGGUCUCUGGGCCGAUACUGACGCUGAGGAGCGAAAGCUAGGGGAGCGAACUGG